rnacentral:rRNA from 1 species
UACGGAGGAUCCAAGCGUUAUCCGGAAUCAUUGGGUUUAAAGGGUCCGUAGGCGGUUUAAUAAGUCAGUGGUGAAAGCCCAUCGCUCAACGGUGGAACGGCCAUUGAUACCGUUAAACUUGAAUUAUUAGGAAGUAACUAGAAUAUGUAGUGUAGCGGUGAAAUGCUUAGAGAUUACAUGGAAUACCAAUUGCGAAGGCAGGUUACUACUAAUGGAUUGACGCUGAUGGACGAAAGCGUGGGUAGCGAACAGG